AGCUUUGCGCAGUGGCAGUAUCGUAGCCAAUGAGGUUUAUCCGAGGCGCGAUUAUUGCUAAUUGAAAAGAAAUAUGAGUUACACACUAAAAAUUAAAAUAUUAUUGAAAAACAAAUCAAAAAAGCUCUAGGUGACUGGAACAACAUACCAGAUUCACAGAUUUGA
rnacentral:snRNA from 11 species